UGCAAAAUGAACAAAACGGUGUUGCCACUGAGUGAAAAGGACUCUCUCUCACAGCAUUUUUCACAUGUCUGAGUCAGAUCCCUACCAUGAGAAAAAAAAUUUUCAGGAAAACUGUGGAAACACAAUGCCGAUAAUAUCGCCCAUGCUUCAAAAAGAUCGACUUCAGCAGAGAAAUAAUGACUUGAGUGUCUGAGAAGAGGGAUCUCCUACUUUUAAAUAGUCUCCUCUUAAAUUCAAGUCAGUUAAUAAAAUAAGGAAACACUGACCUCCAAAAAUGGCCUAGGGGAAAUCACCCUUUACGCUGCACUAGGCAACGGGAAGGAGGAGCAACAUCUACAUACGCGGCAUGGAGUCCACCGAGGAGGAGCAAGCAGAGGCAAGCUGAAAUCAUGUGGAAGAAAUCUCCAA